CCUACGGGGUGCAGCAGUGGGGCAUAUUGGGCAAUGGAGGAAACUCUGACCCAGCAAUGCCGCGUGAAUGCAGAAGGUCUUCGGAUUGUAAAGUUCUUUAGUCAGUGAAGAAGUCAAUGACGGUACCUGAAGAAUAAGCUCCGGCUCACUACGUGCCAGCAGCCGCGGUAAUACGUAGGGAGCAAGCGUUGUUCGGAAUGACUGGGCGUAAAGGGUGCGUAGGCGGUUGUACAAGUUAGAAGUGAAAUACCCAGGGCUUAACUCGGGUGCUGCUUCUAAAACUGUAUGACUUGUGUGCAGUAGAGGUUAGUGGAAUCGCUAGUGUAGCGGUGGAAUGCGUAGAUAUUAGGAGGAACACCAGAGGCGAAGGCGGCUAACUGGACUGCAACUGACGCUGAGGCACGAAAGUGUGGGGAGCAAACAGGAUUAGAUACCCCGGUAGUC
rnacentral:rRNA from 1 species